GGGUCGUUAGCUCAGUUGGUAGAGCAGUUGACUUUUAAUCAAUUGGUCGCACGCACCA
rnacentral:tRNA from 1 species